rnacentral:rRNA from 1 species
UACGUAGGGUGCAAGCGUUGUCCGGAAUUAUUGGGCGUAAAGAGCUCGUAGGCGGUCUGUCGCGUCGAAUGUGAAAACCCGGGGCUCAACCCCGGGCCUGCAUUCGAUACGGGCAGACUAGAGUUCGGUAGGGGAGACUGGAAUUCCUGGUGUAGCGGUGAAAUGCGCAGAUAUCAGGAGGAACACCGAUGGCGAAGGCAGCUCGCUGGGACGGUACUGACGCUGAGACGCGAAAGCGUGGGGAGCAAACAGG